UUCAUCGUCAGCUCAUUUUGUAUAUGUAUGANGUUNUGAUGCGAGUUACUCUNUGUAGUAUUGCUUGCACGUACUUUUACAUUUAUUGGCAAGAUGUUGUCGGCGUGCACUUCUCCCCUAGUAGAACGUCGCGACCCGUUGGAUGUUGGUCUACGACCCGAGUGGUAGACUUUAAUAUUUUNANAAUAUUGAAGACCCUUGGCGUUNNCUGACCGGCUGUCC
rnacentral:rRNA from 1 species